AGGACAGUGGAGUUCGAAGAAUUUGACAUGAUUCAGCACAAGUCCAGUCUUGGAAUGUUUGUGGCUUUCCAGAGAACAGACUCUCAGCUGCGGACAGAGGUGGGAAGAGAAGGAAGGGAUCGGUGAUGCCUCUGGCUCCUCUCAGAGCCAAGUCUGCACUGGACACAUGCUCAGGGACCAACCGAGCCACACUUCCCACAAACCCAUGGGCCACAGCAUCGUUGCAUCAGGUCCUUGACCUUCCCAUUGUGACCUCUUCACAUGGCAUUGUGAUUGCUCAUUUGUGUGCUGGGUCUAAGGUAGGAGACUGUGAACUCCUUGCAAACAGGAUGUCUUUGCUGUUCCAACUUGUAUCUCCAGGACUUAGCACUCAGUAGGUGCUCAAUAAAAUGUGUGUACUGAAUGGAUGAAGAGGUGGAGGCUUGGAUGGAUGGAUGCAUGGAUGCAUGGAUGCAUGGACACUUACAAAUCUUUGAACUAUAGCUGGA